UACGAAGGGGGCUAGCGUUGCUCGGAAUUACUGGGCGUAAAGCGCACGUAGGCGGGUUCUUAAGUCGGUGGUGAAAUCCUGGAGCUCAACUCCAGAACUGCCUUCGAAACUGGGAAUCUUGAGUCCGGGAGAGGUGGAGUGGAACUGCGAGUGUAGAGGUAAAAUUCGUAGAUAUUCGCAAGAACACCAGUGGCGAAGGCGGCUCACUGGCCCGGUACUGACGCUGAG
rnacentral:rRNA from 1 species